rnacentral:lncRNA from 1 species
GUUGCAGUUAGGAGGACCUGCUGUUCUCAUACACGAGGUGAAUAAGCAGCUGUCCAUGAGGGGAAAGAGAGAAAGAUGAAAUGCACAGAAAUGUGUUGUAAACUGCAAAUAUGGAAAGCGAUAAUUCCCAAUUUAAUUUCCACACAUGUCACAUCUCAAAUUCAUAGAGUAGUCACCUUGACAGAAUAUCUGUGAUGCCACAUGAGUACAUACAAUAGAUGUUCCCCUGAUUGUUUUCAACAAAGACCUGGGUAACUAAACAGCUGAGAAUGGAAAAAUACAGACAUUUCUGGGACAGUUUAGAUAAAGGACACUAGUGUCACGGGAUCCAAAACAGUAUCACAGUUCUGUGGUUAAAUUAGAGGAUAUGCGGAGUUUGGCCCAAGUCCAUUUCACAUCACUUCCAAGUAUAUUAAUAACCUGCCUGUAGUUAUAUUUUGGUCCCGGUGUGAAUGAUUGAAAGAGAAAGAGUUAUCAGCAGGCAGAACCCUCAUGCUAUGUUUGGCCUGAGGAAUAAAAGCCAUUUAAGCCUCAAGAGCCAAAUGGAAGAUUCAGAAACCACACUCCUAACCUGAGGAAAAUUAUCAAUGAGAUUCAAAUUUGUAUCACGAAAUACUGUAAUCAUUGCCAACAUAAUGAUAUCAAAUAUGCAAAGGAUAUAGAGAUGAUAGUCCACAUCAUAUUCCCAUUCAACUCACAAAAAUUUUCACUAUAAAGUGUGAUAUAUCAUUCUAUAUUACUGGGAAUUUAUGCAAGAUUAUGUCCCAGGCACAGAUUCACAGCUGCUGCCUGUGAUCAUCUGCUACCAAAGCUGUUACUGGUGUUAUCACUUUGUUAAGUAACAGUGGAUUAUCAUAGAUUUUGGCCUUUGCUGCAGAACUACUGAUCUGGCAGAUAUAUAUUUUAACCCAUUCUUAUCAAUAAUGAAGGUCCAGUUCAACUUUUAUUCACAAGAUAGCAACUUUAGGAAUCAUAAUUCCUCAGGGAUAUCCUAACAUUCCUGCUCUAUAUUGCAGCAGAGGGCAUAAAUAAACUGAUUAUCUAGACAACCCUGAGACUAUAAAAGUAUAGCAAUAACCUUGAUAGUCCGCUCAGUGAACAGAAAAUGGGAACUGUAUAUAUCAUUGGACAAAAGAAUCAAAUUUUAGUGAAAAUCCUCACCCCUUCAAGUGAAUCCAGGUUUUUUUUUUUUUUUUUUGAAUCCCAAAAAGAAGGUGAUCCACAAGUGAGUCCUGAGUCCUGAGUUUCAGCAAAGCUAAGGAAGAUAAUGCCUGCUGUUGUGGAAGAGUUACUGUUAGUCUCUGAGAAGUUCCUAGUGCUUCAAAGGAAAAGAAUACAACUCUGAAAAAGAGAAAGUCUUAUUUCAACAACCAGUCCCGACAUGGUAUGCAGUCCUAGAUGUUGUCCUGGACACAGCAUGCUUAAUGACCAUGUUCCUGGCCUUUCAUUCCUAACUUGGGUUUUGUCAGCAUCAUUGUUCCAUAUGUAAAUCACAUGAGCUCGGGUUUAUCACAUAACUGCCACACUAGGGAGAAUAAAUAGAGAAUGGAGGGAAGUUUUAUUCUCCAGCCAACCAGACCUUCCCUAGAUAACCUCUUUUAUCUGUUUGACAACCUAGCGUUCAAGAAUUGCUCAGAUUCUCUCACCCUCAUUCUUGCUUUCCAUCUCUCUCUGAAUAUGUAAAACUGAAUUGAAUACUUUUCUGGGUUUGCAUGCAUUUUCAACAUAUUAUGUAACAUAUUUCAUUUUCCUUUUUUCUUCCUAUAGCAUUACUUUUUCCUUUUAUGCUUAUCUAAUUCUCAUCUUCACCAUGUACAUGGAUCUACACUCUGAUAUUUACAGGAUGUCCUUUCCCUUGUCAUUUAAUCAUUUAUUCUCAUGAGUAGAUUGAAGUCUCACAUCAUCAUUAUAAAAUACAUAAACAUAUAUUUCAAAGUACAAGCUACUUCAUUUUUUAAAUACAUUUUGGCGAUUGCGUUCUCCGUAUCAUCUCAAACCAUCCUAUCUGACAAUGCCAAUAUAUAGACAAGUUUGAGAUAUACUUCUGCUGACUAUUUAUAAACACUUGACUCUGCUUCUAUUUUCCUGUUUCUUUGCAUAUCUAGGAAUUGUGGAUAAAUUGUGUGGAACCUGUAAGUAUUGCUGGAUAUCUCAAAUUAUGAGUUUUACUCUGAGACAAAUAAAUUAUUGUUGAUCCUUGGGGUAUUUGGCAUUAGAUUUUACUGGGCUAAUGCAUACUCACUGUAACAUGAAGUUGCUGUACCUAGAACUUAGUUCAGUCACGUGAUUUAAGUUGAAUGUAUACUUCCCUUGAGUCUCUCCUCGAUGCUAAAGCCUAAUCCGUGCUCUCUCCAUGUCACCAUUUCACUUCUGAAAUAGAUGUUCAAGUCUCUCACCUAAUAGUCAUUGCUGUUUUCUAUUCCUCAUAGCCUCAUUGUGCACUUGAGUAGCUUAAAUGUUGACCAGAAACUUGGGGAAUAAUUGUGCAGAUGUCAGUGGCUUCUUGGGCUGUCUUUCUCUCUGUUGUGGUUCCCCUCUCACACGCUUGCCAUUUCAACAAUUUUAUAGUCAAAUUUGCAUUUCAUGUGUCCAGGAAGGCUUCUAUUUUGUAUAUUCUAAUGCCCUCUGAGGCACAUCAUGAAAUAUCUUCAAAGUGAAAGCUGGAGUUGCUUGUGCACUCGUUAGAUGCUCUUCUCUUCCCUUAAGAUCCUAAACUGGUUGCCAUUUAGUUUCUGUAAAGAGUUGCAUGGUGUAUAUUAAUCAGCAUUUUUUUAGAAAUCAUAGCAAAGUACUUUUUAUCCUAACUUUUCAAUUUGCACACCUAAGAAUAGUUUACGUGUGUAUCUUCGGGUGUGACUAUACUCAAAGCCCAUAAAAAAUAUUAUUGUUUCAUAUUUUGUUAACAUUAUCAAUGGCAUUGAUGAUGUAAAUCUUGUUUUCUUACAUUUUAUGGUCAGCAUUGUAUAUUUCCAUAUUACCUUUUUUAAAUAUACAACUAGCUUGUUUCUUUUUCCUGUUAUUAUUCUAUAAUAAAGAAAAUAACCUAUCUACUCAUGCAUCAGUAUUCAGUGUCAGAAUCAUUAAAGCUCUUUACUCCAAUAAAUGAUGCUGUGUUCAAUAUCC